rnacentral:rRNA from 1 species
CCUCCGCUUCAUGCUUUUGGGCGAGAAUCUCAAUUUCUAACAUUGGAGGUGAUACAUCCAUUGCAGACGACUUUGUUGCAACCGGGUAUUGUAAGUAUGAGAGUAGGCUUGUCCUACGAUUACUAAGAUUUUUCCUGCGUUGUUCGAUGUGGCCU